UUUGAUUAGAGGGACCUUUCACUCUAGUUCGGCUGCCUGUUAUUGUUGUUCGCGGGUCGCCGACAUGGUUUUGACUAAGCGUCGAAAGCGACUGCUUCUGUUAAAGAAGAAGGUCCUUUUGGCCCAAAUGAUGCUGGAGGAUCAACGCCAGCGGAGGUGGUGGGUGCGCCCGUCAUGGAGAACGCGGCACGCCGAGAGUGAAUUCUUCACCAUGAUGAAAAAAAUGCGUGCUGGGGACCUAGAAUACUUCAAAAAGUACUAUCGCAUGUCCCCAUCACAAUUUGACUAUAUCCUCAGUUUGGUCAAGGACAGAGAGACCUUCAUCCGAGAGCCCAUAUCUUCAGCAGAGCGACUUGCUAUGACCCUGAGGCAUCUGUCCUCAGGAGCCCUCAUGCAAGACAUUGCCCUACCAUUUCGUGUGGGCAUAUCCACAGCUCGUGAGGCCGUGCAAGAGACAUGUGCGGCACUUUGGUCCAGACUGAAAUCACUGUACAUGCCUGGGCCAAAGACGGAGACAUGGCUGCAUAUCGCUGAAGGAUUCAGCUGGAUAUGGCAGUUUCCGAACUGUAUUGGGGCUGUUGAUGGAAAGCACAUACAGAUUAAGUGUCCUCCAAACUCUGGAAGUAUGUACUUCAAUUAUAAGGGCACAUACUCCAUUGUUCUGCUUGCCGUGGUCGACAGCGACUACAAGUUCGUGAUCGUCGACGUUGGUGCUUACGGCAAACAGAGUGAUGGUGGAGUCCUAAAACAAUCAAAGUUCGGGUGUCGCUUGGAGAAUGGAAAGCUUCAUAUCCCGUGAGACCUGGAACUUCCGAACACGUCCCACCCAGCGCCUUGCGUGUUUGUGGGAGACGAAGCCUUCCAACUCCGCAUUGACUUCCUACGGCCAUAUCCUGGACGAGGGCUAGAGGGAGGUGUGCCGAGAACGCUUUCGGGAUUCUGGUGACCAGAUCGAGAAUCUUGGCGCGGACCAUGGGCGAAGAGCCAAAACAAGCUGAAAAGAUGGUGAAGGCCCUCUGUGCUCUCCACAACUUUCUAAUGCACAGAAGCACUGUAGAUGAGGACGCAUAUUGUGGCCCUGGCUUUGCUGAUUCUGUGGAUGGCUUGGGGCAGCGGCGGUCUGGCCAUUGGCGUGAGCUUCUUGCACAGCCGCCAAUGCAAGUGGCUCGUACACAGGCACGCCACUUUGGCAAAGCAGCUCGGCAGGUCAGGAACCUGUAUGCUACUUAUUUCUUCAGUGAAGUAGGCAAAGUGCCUUGGCAGGAUAAGAUCUUGUGUCCUGUCAACACAGGGCCCAAUGCAGCACUACCUGUUUCCCAGUGAAGACGAAAUUUUUUUUAGUAAUUUGAUAUGAGGGGUGUAACGUCCCAAACUACCAUAUUAUCAUGAGAGACGCUGUAGUGAAGGGCUCUUGAAAUUUCGACCACCUGGGGUUCUUUAUCGUGCACCCAUAUCAGAGCACACGGGCCUACAGCAUUUCUGCCUCCAUCGAAAAUGCAUCUUUUUUUAGUAAAGGUGUUAAAGAAUACGUGCCACUGUGUGACCCAGCUGAAAACUAUCACCACCAUAAAUGGGUAUGUGCCACACAAAUUGUGUCAAUCCCACUACUCAUUAUUAGUCAACUAAAGAUGAAGGCGGCUACAGUUGGUCCAACAAGUGGCUGUGAAGUCAUGGUGGAGUGCCAACGGCAUUGCGUAUCAACAACGAGAAAAUAACGGGGGAAAAUAAAAGGCAAUGGCAGCUGCGAGAAGACCUUAAUUGAAGGCUGAGGAGCACAAUGACUUGCCCGUAGUCUUCGAGAGGUGCAAACACUUGGUUUCACUGAGACUUUGUCUUCAAAGUUAGGGCAACCGUGUGUCUGUGACUGUUUAAAUGGUCAACCUCUUCUUGCUAUCUGGAUGAUGUCAUCGUUUUCUCACCCACUUUUGAAAGCCACCUCCCUCGUCUGUCAACCAUACUUGAUGCCCUUCGGCGAGCUGGCCACCUUUUCAUUUCCUGUUUGGCCAUUAUUUUUCGUUAUGUUUUGAUACCCUGCUUCUGUUUAGCCAACACCAAUCAUCACGAAACUCUACAGCAUGUCUGGCUGUGGCAAAAAUAGACGCACACUCGGUAGGAUCUGGCAUGUAUAGAAAGAUUUUGUUGAUUUUGUGCAGUGGGUGGGAGCUUAGUAGCAGGCGUCAACAACCAAUGGGUCUUCGCAAUUUGUCGUCGCACUUCGACUAAUGUAAAUAGAGGUGCUAAUCACUUCCAAGAAGCUUCACGAGAGGUGUUAAUAAAUUUAAAAUAAAGCAUCAAAUUUAGAAACACAGUUCGCAAAGGUAAACAAAGUUUUUCUAACAGGCACAGAAGCUGAGAACAGUGGCCGGCAAAAGGUUGUCAGCAAUAGAGGAAC
rnacentral:misc_RNA from 1 species